UUCGAAUAGAAGGGCGUCAAGUCAUUAAAAUAUCUGUAAAAAAAACAACUUUAAAGAAGAAGAAGCCUAUAUAGUUGAGUUAUUUGUCCUUUAAACUGAAGUUGUCGGACACCGUUUUCGUUUACGGAGGUUACCAUGGUUACAACAGCAACCGUCCACCCGACUUCAGACGCCAUGGUAACCUACCUGAUGUACGUCUGUGGGCUUCAAAUACGAAGGUAAAACAAACACUUUUUAUGAGUGAACGUUUCAAAUGUAAUCUAAUUUGCAUGUGAAUUUAUUUAGGCCACUUCUGUGUGCGUUAAAGCACAGAAGGCAACAACGAGGAGACUAGGCUACAGGUUAACUGCUACUUGCUAGGGGAGACCGGGGUUGGUCGUUACAUCUCUUACUUUCAAGUGAAUUACUUAUGAUCAGAUACAUCUUGAAAAGGUCACUGUUACAGUAGACAAAAGCUUGUGUUCCUGCCUUAAUAAAUUCCCUAGUGUUAGUAUUUGGAUGAUGUUGUUCAAUACAGUUAUAUGCCGUUUUGUGUCAUUUUGUAGUGUUACUUCAAUUAAACCAUAACUGAAUUUAAUUUCUUAGUCUUGUAUAGCGCCUCCAGGUGUACACCAUUCAGAUCAACUGCUAGCACUGGUCUGUACACUAAUGGUGCACAAAUCCUAUUUAUAACUUAAAGCACUACAGUAGGACACUUAUUUCACCUUGUAUUAUCAGAGACCAUUUACAUUUAAUGUUGACAGUGUUGUGGAUUUUUUUGCCUGUAGGUUCGAUGACCGAGUUUGAUGGCAAAUGUGUUUUUUGUUCUCUCAGAGCUAGACUCAAAGGGAGCAAAACAACAUUGGUAAUACCAAACAAUCACUUACUAGGGUUCAUACAGAGUGGGACAGGACAUUUCAAUAAACAUCAUAAAGAUGCUGCUAAACACAACAGUUAAAAAUAGGUCUUUAUUCAAGUCUAAUAUUCUCUUGAAAUAAAUAAAAAAAUCUAUCCCUUAUUGUGUCAUUGUCACUUGCUUUGUUUAUGCUGGCAGCAGCGCUAUUAUGAGAUCAAAAAGAUGUCUUUUAAUUAGCUACUGAGGGAGACCAGAUCCGGAAGUAUGACUGUAUGGCUUAAAGCUUAUUAACAUGUUUUGCAUGUUUCUGACUUCAAACAUGCAACGGUCUCAGUUAUUUAUGGAUGUAGUACAAAAGGCACCAGAAAAAUAAAUCUGCCUAGUCACACCUGCAAAUGCAGUGAGUGUUAUUGUUCCUGAACAAACGCCACCACACACUUUCAAAUCAUCGUCCCCAUUUUCAUUGUGCUGGAUUUCUCGUGUUCAGACUCACCGUCAUUAUUCUAGAAAGGCUCUUUUGAUACUGUAGCAAAAGCUAAGCUUCUCCUCUCUCAAAAUAUGUUUGGAAUAACUAAUGGGAAUGAAUUACAGGAAAAUCAAAUGCCAUAACAGUAGGUUACAAUACUAAGGAGGCCAAAUCGUAGUAGAGCACUUUAAUGAAUUGAGAAUGCCACCUUUCCCACUUGCUGGUGGUAUCAAACAACAGAAUCUUUAGGCCAAAUACAGCUGGUGUGAAGAUAUCUAACACAGGGACUGGUCAGCUGCAAAUGGAUUUUCAAUAGGAUGUCACUGCAGACAAAUGGUGUCAGCCCUGCCAGAUUUAAACUGAGAUAGCUUAUAAUGUAUGAUGAGCUUCUCUUGAAGCACCACAUAUUUACAGUAUUGUGUUGCUGCUAAAACAUGACAACAAAGAGUUCAGGGGUGUCCUGUGUCCAUGUCUAAUUACUUUUCUUCUGAAAGAGAAGGGACCUUUUCAAAGGUGUGCAGGACAUACUGUCAGUACAAAUAUGUGGAUUGAUGCUAUCUUGAUUAUUCUCCAUAUUUCUUUAUGUAACCAUAGUGAUAUUUCACCUCUUGUGUUUCUUAUAUAAAAUCUUUCUUUGCAUGCAUGAAACUUAUAAUAAGCUCAUGAAACUCUCACCAUGAAGUGCACUUGAAGUGCUAAAGUAGUACUUCAGCUGUAACUAAUUCUUAUUGCUGUAUCACCCUUGUACCUAGAAUCGCAUUAAAGAAUGCCCUCUCUGUAUCACUGCUGCAUUAUUACUUUCAAUGCAGAGCAUUGUACAGCAGCAACAGCAUCAACAGAGCAUGACACAGUGAAAGUUUCAUAAUUGACUUUUUUUCUCUCCACAGGAAUGGUUUGACACUGAUUGGGACAGACAGCCUCAUUAAAAGAAAGCCUGGCAUGCAGUGAACACUGAAGAAGCUGGUCUGGAGAAAUCAGUUAAUAAAUCAGUGCUUGUUAGCAUACUUAAUUAUGACUAAUUAUUCACUCAUUAUUUGGAAAAGAAUCUAUUCAUUUGCAUCAGUCAAAACACAUCAAUUAGCGAGGACUAUGUUAGUUUUGAUAUUCCA